UGUGAGCUCGAUGAGUAGGGCGGGACACGUGGUAUCCUGUCUGAAUAUGGGGGGACCAUCCUCCAAGGCUAAAUACUCCUGACUGACCGAUAGUGAACCAGUACCGUGAGGGAAAGGCGAAAAGAACCCCGGCGAGGGGAGUGAAAAAGAACCUGAAACCGUGUACGUACAAGCAGUGGGAGCACGCUUAGGCGUGUGACUGCGUACCUUUUGUAUAAUGGGUCAGCGACUUAUAUUCUGUAGCAAGGUUAACCGAAUAGGGGAGCCGAAGGGAAACCGAGUCUUAACUGGGCGUUAAGUUGCAGGGUAUAGACCCGAAACCCGGUGAUCUAGCCAUGGGCAGGUUGAAGGUUGGGUAACACUAACUGGAGGACCGAACCGACUAAUGUUGAAAAAUUAGCGGAUGACUUGUGGCUGGGGGUGAAAGGCCAAUCAAACCGGGAGAUAGCUGGUUCUCCCCGAAAGCUAUUUAGGUAGCGCCUCGUGAAUUCAUCUCCGGGGGUAGAGCACUGUUUCGGCAAGGGGGUCAUCCCGACUUACCAACCCGAUGCAAACUGCGAAUACCGGAGAAUGUUAUCACGGGAGACACACGGCGGGUGCUAACGUCCGUCGUGAAGAGGGAAACAACCCAGACCGCCAGCUAAGGUCCCAAAGUCAUGGUUAAGUGGGAAACGAUGUGGGAAGGCCCAGACAGCCAGGAUGUUGGCUUAGAAGCAGCCAUCAUUUAAAGAAAGCGUAAUAGCUCACUGGUCGAGUCGGCCUGCGCGGAAGAUGUAACGGGGCUAAACCAUGCACCGAAGCUGCGGCAGCGACGCUUAUGCGUUGUUGGGUAGGGGAGCGUUCUGUAAGCCUGUGAAGGUGUGCUGUGAGGCAUGCUGGAGGUAUCAGAAGUGCGAAUGCUGACAUAAGUAACGAUAAAGCGGGUGAAAAGCCCGCUCGCCGGAAGACCAAGGGUUCCUGUCCAACGUUAAUCGGGGCAGGGUGAGUCGACCCCUAAGGCGAGGCCGAAAGGCGUAGUCGAUGGGAAACAGGUUAAUAUUCCUGUACUUGGUGUUACUGCGAAGGGGGGACGGAGAAGGCUAUGUUGGCCGGGCGACGGUUGUCCCGGUUUAAGCGUGUAGGCUGGUUUUCCAGGCAAAUCCGGAAAAUCAAGGCUGAGGCGUGAUGACGAGGCACUACGGUGCUGAAGCAACAAAUGCCCUGCUUCCAGGAAAAGCCUCUAAGCAUCAGGUAACAUCAAAUCGUACCCCAAACCGACACAGGUGGUCAGGUAGAGAAUACCAAGGCGCUUGAGAGAACUCGGGUGAAGGAACUAGGCAAAAUGGUGCCGUAACUUCGGGAGAAGGCACGCUGAUAUGUAGGUGAAGUCCCUCGCGGAUGGAGCUGAAAUCAGUCGAAGAUACCAGCUGGCUGCAACUGUUUAUUAAAAACACAGCACUGUGCAAACACGAAAGUGGACGUAUACGGUGUGACGCCUGCCCGGUGCCGGAAGGUUAAUUGAUGGGGUUAGCGCAAGCGAAGCUCUUGAUCGAAGCCCCGGUAAACGGCGGCCGUAACUAUAACGGUCCUAAGGUAGCGAAAUUCCUUGUCGGGUAAGUUCCGACCUGCACGAAUGGCGUAAUGAUGGCCAGGCUGUCUCCACCCGAGACUCAGUGAAAUUGAACUCGCUGUGAAGAUGCAGUGUACCCGCGGCAAGACGGAAAGACCCCGUGAACCUUUACUAUAGCUUGACACUGAACAUUGAGCCUUGAUGUGUAGGAUAGGUGGGAGGCUUGGAAGUGUGGACGCCAGUCUGCAUGGAGCCGACCUUGAAAUACCACCCUUUAAUGUUUGAUGUUCUAACGUUGACCCGUAAUCCGGGUUGCGGACAGUGUCUGGUGGGUAGUUUGACUGGGGCGGUCUCCUCCUAAAGAGUAACGGAGGAGCACGAAGGUUGGCUAAUCCUGGUCGGACAUCAGGAGGUUAGUGCAAUGGCAUAAGCCAGCUUGACUGCGAGCGUGACGGCGCGAGCAGGUGCGAAAGCAGGUCAUAGUGAUCCGGUGGUUCUGAAUGGAAGGGCCAUCGCUCAACGGAUAAAAGGUACUCCGGGGAUAACAGGCUGAUACCGCCCAAGAGUUCAUAUCGACGGCGGUGUUUGGCACCUCGAUGUCGGCUCAUCACAUCCUGGGGCUGAAGUAGGUCCCAAGGGUAUGGCUGUUCGCCAUUUAAAGUGGUACGCGAGCUGGGUUUAGAACGUCGUGAGACAGUUCGGUCCCUAUCUGCCGUGGGCGCUGGAGAACUGAGGGGGGCUGCUCCUAGUACGAGAGGACCGGAGUGGACGCAUCACUGGUGUUCGGGUUGUCAUGCCAAUGGCACUGCCCGGUAGCUAAAUGCGGAAGAGAUAAGUGCUGAAAGCAUCUAAGCACGAAACUUGCCCCGAGAUGAGUUCUCCCUGACUCCUUGA
rnacentral:rRNA from 1 species